CUGUAUAAAAUACAUAUGCCACAUUGCGUGAAAUAUAAUAAUGUAUAUAUAUGUUCACACGUAUAUUAUAUUAUAUUAUUAACGCAUAUGACGGUUCCGUGAUAUUGGAUACACACGCACGCUUGUCGUGUAUCGUAUAUCCUAUAUAUUGCGGUCCGUUUAAAUAUUGUCUAACGACACACGUUGAUUAUAAUUUAUAUAUCAUACGACAAUGUUAGAGAUUAUUAUAAUAUUUGUCGAACGAUCGACGGUGUUACCGCUGAUGCGCUUUACCGCGUAAGGUGGGACGCUUUCGACUCUUCGAGUUGGAGUGUUAUUGUAACAAUAUCACACAUACAAGAGGGUUGAUGGCGUGUGCAUGUUUUUUUUUUUUUAAAUUAAACAAGUUCAACACCGUACACAUGUCGCGAGACACGUAAAUAUUAACAAAUCUCUAUAUGACAAUUGACGUAUACACAAUGAUAUGUAAGCCUUAAAGAUCAUCGACAGUAGGCGGACUCGACGUCCGAAGAGCGCAUCGACGCCGUCGUCGUUAUCGAUCGUUAUUAUUGUAAAAAAUGUAACGUGUCGUAGCGGUUGCGUCGUCGUAACGCUGACGGAUAUCGCGUCUGCCUCAUUUUUUUAUCGUUGGCCUCAGAUCAGGGAGGAUCACCCGCCGAAUUUAAGCAUAUUAGUAAGCGGAGGAAAAGAAACUAACUAGGAUUUCCUUAGUAGCGGCGAGCGAACAGGAAAGAAGCCCAGCACUGAAUCCCGCCGUUGUUCAGGCGGCGGGAGAUGUGGUGUUCGGGAGGUUCCGCUUUCUCGUCGCGAUCGCUCCUGUCCAAGUUCGUCUUGAACGGGGCCGUUUUCCCGUAGAGGGUGCCAGGCCCGUAGCGACGGAGGAUCGCGGCGAGAGGGACUCUCCUUAGAGUCGGGUUGCUUGAGAGUGCAGCCCUAAGUGGGUGGUAA
rnacentral:sRNA from 1 species